GUUGCUCGGAUAAUCACACACCUCUUCGUGGUGAGCAGCAGGCAACGAUCUGUGAUCGGCAGAGAUGUGAUA
rnacentral:ribozyme from 1 species